GUGCUUGCUUCGGCAGCACAUAUACUAAAAUUGGAACGAUACAGAGAAGAUUAGCAUGGCCCCUUUAAAAAAAAAAAGUUCAGAAAAUGAAAGAGAGCAAAUGUGG
rnacentral:snRNA from 1 species